UGGGGAAUUUUUCACAAUGGGGGAAACCCUGAUGCAGCGACGCCGCGUGAUUUAGAAGGCCUUCGGGUUGUAAAAAUCUUUUGUAUGGGAAGAAAAUGACAGUACCAUACGAAUAAGGACCGGCUAAUUACGUGCCAGCAGCCGCGGUAAUACGUAAGGUCCGAGCGUUGUCCGGAAUCAUUGGGCGUAAAGGGUACGUAGGCGGAUAAGCAAGUUAGAAGUGAAAUCCUAUAGCUCAACUAUAGUAAGCUUUUAAAACUGCUCAUCUUGAGGUAUGGAAGGGAAAGUGGAAUUCCUAGUGUAGCGGUGAAAUGCGCAGAUAUUAGGAGGAAUACCGGUGGCGAAGGCGACUUUCUGGCCAUAUGCUGACGCUGGGGUACGAAAGCGUGGGUGACAAACAGG
rnacentral:rRNA from 1 species